UUCUACCAAGACCCGAAUGUUUUGUUUAUGACAAUGUAGUCUUCUACCAAGACCCGAAUGUUUUGUUUAUGACAAUGUAGUCUUCUACCAAGACCUGAAUGUUUUGUUUGUAAAAUGAUAGUUUUCCUUUAAUUUUUUAGUACUAAAGUACUUAGUCUAACUCAUCGUUUAUGUGAAAGUAUCACAAAAUAAAGUAAACAGGAAAAUGUACUACUGUAAGUGUCAUCCCGAGGUACUAGGGCUAACAUGCCAUCGCGUAAAGCGAAACGUAUAUCCUAUCACAAAAUAAAGUAAUAGGAAAAUGUACUAAGGUAAGUGUUAUCCCGAGGUACUGUGGGCUAACACGACAUAUGUAAAUGUUAUCCGGAGGUACUAGGAAUAACACGACAUAUAUAACCGAACGAACAUCCGAAGAUUGUUCAAUUAUCCUCUGUAGCUGCAGCAGGGGGGAGGAAGGGUUAGUCCCGUAAAGGUACUCCUAAUAUAAGUAAUAACCGUAGGCAUCCGUAGAUGUUCAUUACCCACUGGUGCUAACAGAUGGGUUCCGGAAUGGUUAGUCCCGUACGUAUAUCCUGAGGUACUGGGGAUAGAGGCCCAUCUAGGUAUCCCGAGGUAUUGGGGAUAGGGUCCUGUCUAAAUAUCCUGAGGUACUUGGGGAUAUGCAGGAAGAUUUACACAAAAGGUACUAAUAAAUCAUCCUCGCAAUUCGUGAUACAAAUAUUCAUGUUAACGUACACAGUUAGGUGUAUCUACUUAAAGGUACUCAUGUAAUGUGUUCAUGUAUCAUGUAAGCAUAUGUAAAGGUACUCAAGUAUCAGGUAAGGUACUAGUAAAGACUCACGAAUGAACUGACUCUUGUGUGAUUCCUUGUAAUAGGAAUAAUGUUUUGUUAUCUUCAAAUUAUCCCUAUGAUAAUUUACUGUAAUCUAACUAGUUGAUCAUGUAGGUUUACACACUCUUACUACUCAAGGGUGUGGGAAACUUAAAUGAAAGAUGCAAACUAUAACAUCAAUACAUAUAUAAGAAUAUAAGUGUAUAUGCAUAGUUUAGUUCAAGAAUGUAAAAAUGGUUUUGUAAGACAUCUUAUGGGUUUUGAACAAUGAUUAACAAUAACCUGAGGUCAUUUUAAUAUACAUUUCGAAGGUAAAACUUUUGAUAACAAUGUGUUUUUAAGAUUUAAAACCAUUUCAUGCAUCACAUUUUGUAGUAUGUGAAAUCNAAGUAUAACAAAGAUUUAUGUCUUUCACACGGGGAUAACUGUGUGUUUACUUGUAUUCCCCCCUUAAAAGCAUAUAAAAACAUUUAUAGAAUAUUUAAAAGUGUAGAUUAUAGGGGUAUGAACUCACUUGAUUGAAGUAGUUCAUUUGAAGUAGUCGAGAGAAGAAUCGAGCAGAACUUCGAUAGGAAGAGUUGAAAACGCGGGAAAUCUCAGGAUUCUCGGGAAUCUCGAAAAUACAAAACCUUCCUUCAGGACUUGAAGGUGAAAACCGAGGCUUUGGGAGGGUCUCGGGGGCUUAAACGUAGAGUUUCGGCGCGAGAAAGAAAGGAACUGAGCAAUGGAACUCGGAGCCCUUGAAAUCUAUUUAUAGGGGCAUUUUUGGGGUGUGCCACGUCGUGGCAAGUGAUGGCCACGUCGUGGGGAGUCAAAAUUAUCCUAUUCCAUUGAUUGGACGCCCUCAGUCACUUGCCGGGUCGCGGGAAGCUUGUGCCACGUCGUGGCAAGCCUGACAGCCUCGGAUUUCGGGCCUCGAAAUUGUAAAAUCCAUAACUUUCGCGUACGAGCUCCGUUUACGACGUUCUUUAUAUGAACGCGUAGCUGAAAACAUGAUCUACAACUCUUGUUUAGACUUCAUCGGCAAAUUAUGAGUUUAUUUUUAAUUAUUUAUCUCUAACGGGCAGGGACGCGAUAAUUUCGUUAAAAAUCCAUAACUUCUUCAUCCGAUGUCCAUUUUUGUCAGACGUUUCAUCGUUGCGCUACUAAUGUUGAGACCUUAGAUUCUCAUUUAGGUUGUUUUGGUCAAAAGUAUCUCGAGCUCUAUUUCGAGUUUUUAGCUGUCUACUGCUAUACCCGAAUCUUGGAAAAAUCAUAACUUCCUCAUACGAAGUCAGAUUUGGACGUUCUUUUUAUGUACGCUCACGGUUUGANCAUACGAAGUAAGAUUUGGACGUUCUUUUUAUGUAUGCUCACGGUUUGAGGUUAUCUACAACUUUCAUUUAGAUACUUAAGGCUAAAAACUAUUGUAUUGAAACUUCGCGUUUUUCGUUUAAUCGGUGUUGCCGAGAAUCUUCGGUUGGUCAUAACUUCUUCGUUAUAACUCGGAUUUUUGGGUUCUUUAUAUGUAUGAAAACCUUGAUACGAUUCCUACUACUUUAUUUAACCUAAAUAGGAUUUUAGGAAAGUUAUAUUUUGACCUAAAUUUGAUUGGUUUUACAUUACAUUGUCUCGAAAUAUCGGGUUGACACAUCAUCCCCCCGUUAGAGGGAAUUUCGUCCCGAAAUUAGAGUUUAAGCAAGACAUAAUAAUUAUGUUACGGAUAGAAGUUUUAUUUGCUUCUCGUGUUCUUAAGUGAACUCAGGUUCUUGCUUGGCAUUCCAACGAACCUUUCACUAUCGGGAUACGACUUUGAUUCUUUCGUUUGACUUCGCUGGUAUGAUAACCCUUCUUGCUCGAAUGUAUGUUAAAUGUUUUGUGGUUUGUGAGAGUAUGCCAUACAAUUAUUGUCUCCAGAUCUUCAGAGCAAUUACCGCUGCUCAUGACUCAAGAUCACGUGUUGUAUAGUUGACUUCUUGCACGUUAAGUUGUCUUGAGGUAUCGGCAAUGACCUUUCCCCUUGCUUAAGAAUACAACCAAGCCCUUGGUUGUAUGCAUCGCAUUACACCACAAAAUCUUCUAUCCCCUUUUGGGAGGGAUAAUUUCGGUGCGGUGCACCAGGCUUACUUUAGCGUUUGGAACGCUCUUUCUUGUUUACAAAUAAGUCCGGUGCUCCUCAAGGUGAGAAACUUGGCCUAGAGAAUCCUCUUCUGAGGAGUUCGUUAAGAUGUCUGGGAAGUUCUAGUCUCUUAGUUGGAGUUAGACGAUAAGGUGAUUUGGCUACUGGGGUAGCCCUUGUAACUAAGUUGAUUAUGAACUCGAAUUGACGUUGUGGUGGUAAUCCCGGUAGUUGUUCUGGAAAGGUGUUGGGAAAGUCGCGUACUUUUGGAAUGUUCUGAAUGUCCUUUACUUCUUGACUCGUAUCGACGAUGUGUGCAAGGAAUGCAUGAUAUUCCUUUUGUAAGCGCUUUUGAGCUUAAAUACACAAAAUGAUGUGAAGGUUCAUACUUGAUUUGUCUCCAUAAAUAACAAGAGGUUCUUUGAUAGGGAGAUUAAGAUUAACUGCAUUAUCAAAGCACCUGAUGUCGGCUCGAUGUAGACUUAACCAACUCCUACUAAUUAUGAUGUCAAAAUCUUGGGGGUGGAUUCGAUGCCGUGAAGAUCUAAAGAAAGUAUGACUACUUAUGAAUUAGGGAAAAAGAUAGGUAUUUCUAAGUUUAUUCUCACGGAAGCACGAUCACUCGCAGUCUUGGGCAGUCUGCAUCCUAAAGUUCAUAGUAGAACCCAUACUAGGUUCCUCAAUCACAGUCUCGGGUAUACGAGUCGUAUAUAAUUAAGAUUGAAACUGUGGGUCUUUGGAUUGAACUUAACGUACUGCACGAGUCGUACUUCGGGAAGGUUUGUUGAGGUUUCUUUGGAAAGGGUAAGAAACAUGAGGUACUCUACGCAUGAGUACUUCAGAGUUCUGAAGUGACAGUUUCGUUAGAAAGAUGAUUUCGAAGAAAGAGAUUUACGCAUGAAACUGGUAUUGUGAGGAUCAAAUAGACUCUUCUCGUAUGAUGAAAUCAGAAUCACUUGGAAAUAAAGGCACUAGAUUCGAUCAUAAAGGCGUUACAGACAAAAUACAACAGUGCAACUUUUUAACAGAGUUACAGUACUUUAGAGUAAUUACAGGAAUUAUUGCUACGAACAAAGUAUACUAUAAAAGGCAAGUAUACGCAACACGAGGGUCCCUUAACUGACGGGAUCUCGCAAAAGAUAAGACUCGAGUUGCACUAGUUUUAAACGUGUUUUAAAAACAUACAUAAUACUGAUGAUUGGAAGUGAACCUAUACUAUAGUAGGGUCCUUCGUUGCCUCUUUCCAUUAUGAGGUCAAACUCCUCCGGAUUCACCGUCACUCUCCUCUGUUGGACAGUCCCUCUUGAAGUGUCCCAUUACGCCACAUAGAUGGCAUAUUUGAGAGAUUUCGACAUUGGUGGUUGAAGUAAUGUGUUCAAUCCGAGUCUUGUAGUAGCGGACGGUGUGUCCCUUUUUAUUGCAGUUUAAGCACUGCAUUUUCCGACAAGGUCCAUGAUGGUGAUAGUUUCAUUUGUUGCACUUUGGGAGAUUGCCAGCAUACUAUCUGGCCGGGUUAGGGAUAACUGGGAUACUAGAAGAGAUGGUAGUAGGAGGUACAGAAGUCGUAGCUACGAAGGUUGCCACAGGUUGUUGUCUUUUGCUCGCCCCUUGGGGUGAUUUGCCUUUAGCCUUAGCCCAGAACCUUCGUUUGUUAUUCUUGGGCUUGGGAUUCGGGGUGUCAUGGUAGUUUGUUUCUCGUUGACGUACUUGACUGUUACUUGGAUUGCAAUUAUUGUUAAAAAUCCCGCUAACAUUCGCGUUGUUAGCGUUAAGGUGGGUCAGAACAGCUGACACGGCGGCCGAGACUGCAGCUUGAAAAGUAGCUGCAUCAAUCUGAAGAGUUGGUGUUUGGUUGAUGGGUUGAUCAUUUUUCUUCGACGAAAUGAUUCUGUUACACGGAAAGAAAAAUGAAUUUGUGAGCGAGUAUGGUUGAACCUAGACGUAGUUCGAUCGUUCAUGUAAAGAAUAGAAGUAUGUUCUCGAAGGUUUGACCUACAUCCCUAUGAUGCAGUCCCAGUACGGAAUAGGAGUAUGUUCAUGAUGGUUUGACCUACAUCCCUAUGAUGCAGUCUUAGUACAGAGUAGAAGUAUGUUUGUAGAAUGGUCUCCAAAUGCUUAUCGUCCAGACCAGGGUAUUAUUGGUUGGUGGAUAACAUGAUCCAACCUUUGAGAGAGACUUGGAAAUGAUUCCGGAGUUAAAUUACCAUAGUCCAAUAACUUGACUAGAUGGGGUUUCAGAUAGACUCCAAUGAAAGCAUUUGAACAAAGAUUGACACGGAAGUUAGACGACUGUCGAUAUCAUUGAUGUUUAAGAUUUAAUUGGUUUGGGGAAAUUGACCUUGUUAUAGGUCUUACAUCAUAUUCAGAGUAGAAAAGUCUUUGACAACAUAAAGACUUAAAUAAAAGUACUUAUAGUACAAGGUAAUUACAUAGAAAGUACUACAUAGAACAUAGACAAGAACACAGUUCUUUAAAAAAAAAGAAGGAAGUAAGGUAUCUCCUACUGGCGACGGUCACCCCUAUGGUGAACCCUUAGUUCGGUUAGUUGACGUUCCAUAUCAAGCAAGUAUCUCUCGUACCCAUCUGGCGUACUUGGAGCUCUAUGACUUCGGCUUGGGUUUCAGCUAGUGCUUGAAGUAGGGUCUCAUGGUUUCUCUCAGAUCUCUCACUUGUGAUCAAGGCGAUUGGUGCGAAUGGUAUGCAUUCUUACAUUGGUAUUAAACUCUUCUAUACGUUGGAGAGUUGUCCUGCCCUGAAUUUCUUUUUGGGCAUUUCUACGGGUUAGGAUUGGUAGAACUCUGUCUAUUGAGCUCCCUUCGUUUAUAUUGUAGAGGUUUCGGUCUCCAUGAAACGGCAUAGGUUGAUCUUGCUCUUCGCUCCAUGUUUCCAAGGAUUCUACCCAAGGAGGCAUCGGGCCAUGAAAAGCUGGACGAGGGUUAGGAAUUGGAAAGGGAGUUGCUUGGGGUAGGUUCUCAACCUCUGGUUCGGAAUUAGCAUCGUCUGAAAGGUUUUCAUCAUGGUGAUCAUCCAAAGGGAUAAGAUAAUCAUUCUAUGGUUCUUCUCCAAACCAACCAGCUAUGACUUCGUUCAGAAGAUAUUGGUUGCCGUGGGGAUGGAGUCCAGCUAUGUUUUCUAUGCGAGAAUUUAAGGGUAAGAGAAUAAUUAUUAGACAAACUAUCUAGAUAAUUAUUUAGAAAACCUUCAUUAGUUACAUCGCUAUUUGUGAAGUGCAUACCAGCUAUGUGUAAUUUAACAGGAUAGACCUUCGAAUAAGUGACCUUAACUCCGUAUUCACACAGAAUAGGGGUGAAGUAAAAUUUUCACAGAUUCUAAGUCUAUAACAUCCUAAUUACAUAUAGCCUUAGUGUAUCCACUUAGCAACUAUCAACUUAGUGAUGAAGAUCCCGUUUUAGUUCUCAAGUAUAAAGUACUUAUAGUAACACCAAAUACUCCUAUAGUAUUUUAAUUUUAAUGUUAUGUUCUAUUGCUCUCAUUGUGGUAGGGUUGGUAAGAUUUUAGCAUUGUUGCAACCACCCAAUUUAAACAUAGGCACAUGCUAGUCAACCUUCGGAUAAUAUAGAUGAUCAGGCUAUAUCUUCCCAGUUUUGACCAUAUGUCUCUAAGCCUACUUGUGUUGCCCAACAAUCGUAAUUCUUUUGUACAGUGCUAGUGACACUGAUUUUAGUAUGAACGCAGGCACGUAUACUUACUUAAAUAUUUUAUUAUUUAAAGUAUAAACUCUAAAUCAGAGUAUUUUUAAUCCCAUUGUAUUUAUAGUUAGUAUAUCUUUUAUGGGUUGAUAUACUCAAUUCACUAUAAACAAUGCUCUGAUACCAAUCUGUCACACCCCAAAACCAAGAACGGCGGAAACGUUCUGGGGCGGAGGACGUCAUGUAUGCAUCACAACAAAUGUAAAGUAGUAAACAAGCAACAACAUCAUCCAUUGCAUUAAUAGUAUAAUUUUAGUUACAAGUGUUUUCUUUCAUAGUACAAGACAACAUGAUAACUGAUCAAAAUAAAANCCGUACCUGUCUACUGAUGACCUCAUAAUACAAGUUAUUUUGAAAGCGAGUAUCAGCUUUAAAGCUGGUUAAUUCAUAAGUAUAUAAGUGUCAUUGCCUUGUUUGUGAAAAGCUGUUAUGAAGGCCUUGUGGAUCGUUAAAUGAAAAUGUUGAUGUAAGUAUGAAAAACCCUAGAAAAUCCCUUAUUUCCUAUCAGUUUGAGAUGUAGUCUUCUACCAAGACCCGAAUGUUUUGUUUAUGACAAUGUAGUCUUCUACCAAGACCCGAAUGUUUUGUUUGUAAAAUGAUAGUUUUCCUUUAAUUGUUUAGUACUAAAGUACUUAGUCUAACUCAUCGUUUAUGUGAAAGUAUCACAAAAUAAAGUAAACAGGAAAAUGUACUACUGUAAGUGUCAUCCCGAGGUACUAGGGCUAACAUGCCAU
rnacentral:lncRNA from 1 species